GAUAUCAACUGAAAAAGUCAUCAACAACAAAGUUGAAUAACUCAUCAAGAUCUAAAACUUUUAUUUUGGUCAUUUCUUCAUACGACAAAGUGAUAGUAACAUUGUUCACAAAAUUGACAUAUCUCUUAUCUGGUUUUAUAAACUAUAACACAUAUAUGUAAAAUUUAUGAAUAAUAUUACUAACAUUUCGUCGGAUGAAGAAAUAACAAAAAUAAAAGUUUUAGAUCUUGAUGAGUUAUUCAACUUUGUUGUUGAUGACUUUUUCAAUUGAAAUC
rnacentral:pre_miRNA from 1 species